UAUCUUUAAGGUGCCUUCCAAAUCAAGCCAUGCUGUGAUUGAAGUGAAGUACCUGGGAAUAGAGCACAGUGAAAACAAAGCUUCUCAUGGAACAAGACCUCCAUGAGUACUAUCCAUUAUAUCUGUCUUUACAUUUUAGUUGAUUAGUAUCAAAUCUCUUUGACUUCCUAAACUUUCUUUUUCCAUUUCCUCUCGCCAUCUGGCCAAACUUAGUCUACAGAAACUUGUCUUACCCUUCUGCUCUACUUUUUUCAUUGUCAUUCUUGAACUUGAGAGCCACAUGUUAAUCAGCCAGAGAAGGCUGGUUGUCUAGAGUUCAGGCAAAAAAUACUAAAAAGAGUUAUUGGUACAUACACGAUUUCUGAGGCCACAAAGAACUUUUCUGUCCUUCAGUUUCAAGCUGACAUUCCUAGAUUCACCAAAUCUCUUAGGAAAACUGUCAUGCCUGAUGAAGAACCUUCCAGUGGCACACAUGGCAUGCCAGGCUCUUGUACUGCUUUCCUUUGCAGUUUCAGGCAGGUGGGGCUGGGCAGGGGGUAAGGUAGAGCACUGGCAAGGAGAGAAAUGGCAGUCAGUGGUUCUGCCAGCCUCCUCCACACAGAAUUUAACAUGGCAGGGUGUUGGAGAUCCAGGCACAGAAAAUGUCCCUUUAUCUAUGCUGCCAGGCUCAGGCACCUGAGAGAACACUGUGUUUAAUUUAAGACCAUGGAGAAAGCUUCUAAAACUAAGUUGAGAAACUGGGAAUGUGAAUGUGUGUUAGAUAGAAUUAUGUUAAGUUACUGGGUGAAAAAUAUAGUUUAGAGAUACAGUAGUGAAUAAGAGACAAGAUGGAGGUUCUUGGGCAUUGGUUUGUCUUUGCCUUUCUUUCUUCUUCUUCAUGGAUUUUGAUAAUAUUUUUGUGAUUUUUGGUGGUGAAAAAGUUUGCAGUGCAGACCUCAGGUGUUUGGUUUUUGGGUUAAAUGUAAAAAUAAAUUAGUUGGCAUUUGAUAAUUGGAUAGUUUUUGCUUAAAAGGCCUUGUGGACAGAGCCCAAGGUCACCAUUUGUAGUUUGCUAGGUUAGUGUUUAGAAGUACUUAUUAUCUGUAAAAAUGUAAUAUAGAUAAGGUAAAAUAAACAUUCUAAGUCUGAAUGUGAAAACUGUCUCUCUGCUUCUCAAUCCUGAUCCUGGGGAAAAGAAGUGAACACUUUUACAUUUGGUGCCCCAGAGACUUCUACAGCAGGGCACGUCUUUGCCUCAUGAAGGAGGCAGAUGGAGGAAGAAAGAGGAGAUGAUGCCCCAUGGAAAUAGAUGAAACACAUUUUGAGAAGAGGGAACCCAUCUCCCACACUGUACAGACCAGACUAACAUUACUGGAAUACCUUCAGUAGGGAAUGAAACUAAAGAGAAGAUGGCCAUGAAAAUAUUGCAGACAAGAGAGGCAGACACCCAGAAAACAAUUACUGAAGAAAGAAGGGGUACCAUGUGAUAGAAUGGUCUAUUAGCAUCACGUUGCAGAUGGUGAACCAUUCUGGGAAGUCAGUGCUGAGCAGAGCCCCAGGGUUCACCUCAAAAACUUACUUCAAGACUGCCAAAGAAUACAUUACUGCUGGUGAAUUAAAAAUCUUGGCUCCUAAUAGCAUGUUCCCAUCAUUUGAGAUAGCCAAAUUAUAACCCCAUCUAAGCUGACACACUAUCAGGCAGCAUUAGAGGAAGGACCUAAUUUAUUGAGGCAGUAAGCAAAAGGACACACUGAAGACCUUUCCCUUCUCAUUCUCUACUAAAAAAACAAAAAACCAAACCAAACCAAACCAAACAAACAAACAAAAUCAUAAUUUAGAGGACCACAAGGUAGGUGCUGAAGAAAAAGAGUGGCAGAUAUUUUCCACAGCUGAUUGACUCAGGAGAAAACCUGAUGCUGAGAUGCACAAGCAGGAAAUAAAUACAUUGAGAACUGUGGUUUUGAAUAGAACAAAGACCAGUAAUUCUGCAUGCUUCCUUAUUGUUUUAAAUGUAUCUUCUUAACUGCAUGGCUGAGUUGAUCUUCAAACCAAAUAAAAAAUAUGACAUUUACAUCAGUUCACACAGCCUCUUUCCAAUUCUACCUGCCAAGAGACUUUGCCUUUUGUCAUGACAAAGCUGAGUUCCAAAGACCAGGUACUUCUAAAUUUUGGAUGGGUUUUUUUUUUUUUUGUCCUAGGCCUUAACUGACUUUUUGAAUGAGGAAAUGAGUCUGUGCUUUUGAUUCCAAAAGGCAAAAACCAAAACUGGGGAUGGACAGAAGGUCCACGUGUUUCACAAACAUGUGAAAGGCAGUACCUGACCAGUUUGAACACGUUUACGGUCAGAGAGGCUUACGCAGGACGAGCGCAAACAUGACCGCAGACAAGGUUAUACCAACACGAGUGUGUGCGGGGCACGUGCAGCGCAUUGCAGCAACGCGUGGGGAACAGCAGCCUUGCACCAGCUUUGCAGGGAACAAAUGUGAUCCUAACUCUUUUCCUGACCCAAAUUCACUGACUCUGACAGUAGCUUGUGAAGUCAUUACCAACCCUGAACUAUGAUCUCUUGCAGCCCUUGUUUAUACCAGGAAAUUAAAUUUUGUCUUAUAAACCAUCAUGUCCUCAU